rnacentral:rRNA from 1 species
GACGUAGGAUGCAAGCGUUGUCCGGAAUCAUUGGGCGUAAAGCGUUCGUAGGCGGCAUGUCAAGUCUGGUGUCAAAUCCCGGGGCUCAACUCCGGACCGGCACUGGAUACUGGCAAGCUAGAGUGCAGUAGGGGCAAGGGGAAUUCCAGGUGUAGCGGUGAAAUGCGUAGAUAUCGGGAGGAACACCAGUGGCGAAAGCGCCUUGCUGGGCUGUAACUGACGCUGAGGAAAGAAAGCCAGGGGAGCAAAUGGG